AGGUGGUGCAUGGUUGUCGUCAGCUCGUGUCGUGAGAUGUUGGGUUAAGUCCCGCAACGAGCGCAACCUUGUGUUUAGUUGCAAACAGGUCAAGCUGUGCACUCUAGACAGACUGCCGCGGACAACACGGAGGAAGGUGGGGAUGACGUCAAAUCAUCAUGCCCCUUAUGAUCUGGGCUACACACGUGCUACAAUGGCCGGUACAACGGGCAGCGAAGGAGCGAUCCGGAGCGAAUCCUAAAAAGCCGGUCCCAGUUCGGAUUGCAGGCUGAAACUCGCCUACAUGAAGUUGGAGUUGCUAGUAAUCGCGAAUCAGAAUGUCGCGGUGAAUGCGUUCCCGGGUCUU
rnacentral:rRNA from 1 species